rnacentral:rRNA from 1 species
GUCCUUUAGAUAAAUAUAAUUUAAGGUCUAACCUGCCCAUUGACUUAGUUAAAAGGCCGCAGUAAUUUGACUGUGCAAAGGUAGCAUAAUCAUUAGUUUUUUAAUUAAAAGCUUGUAUGAAUGGUUGGACGAGAUAAAAUCUGUCUCUAAAUAAUUAAUAGAAUUUAAUUUUUAAGUUAAAAAGCUUAAAUUUAUUUAAAAGACGAGAAGACCCUAUAGAUCUUUAUAUAAUUAUUUUUAGUAUUAAUUAAGAAAAUUUUAUUUAUUAAUAAUAUUUAUAUUUUAUUGGGGUAAUAAAAAGAUUAAAAAAAUUCUUUUUAAUUAAACAAUAAUUAUUGAUUAUAUGAUCCAUUUUUAGUGAUUAUAAGAUUAAGUUACCUUAGGGAUAACAGCGUAAUUUUUUUAAAGAGUUCUUAUCAAUAAAAAAGUUUGCGA